rnacentral:tmRNA from 1 species
GGGGCUGAUUCUGGAUUCGACUGGAUUUGCGAAACCCAAGGUGCAUGCCGAGGGGCGGUUGGCCUCGUAAAAAGCCGCAAAAAAUAGUCGCAAACGACGAAAACUACGCUUUAGCAGCUUAAUAACCUGCUUAGAGCCCUCUCUCCCUAGCCUCCGCUCUUAGGACGGGGAUCAAGAGAGGUCAAACCCAAAAGAGAUCGCGUGGAAGCCCUGCCUGGGGUUGAAGCGUUAAAACUUAAUCAGGCUAGUUUGUUAGUGGCGUGUCCGUCCGCAGCUGGCAAGCGAAUGUAAAGACUGACUAAGCAUGUAGUACCGAGGAUGUAGGAAUUUCGGACGCGGGUUCAACUCCCGCCAGCUCCACCA